GACGAACGCUGGCGGCGUGCUUAACACAUGCAAGUCGAACGGUAAGGCUCCAGCUUGCUGGGGUACACGAGUGGCGAACGGGUGAGUAACACGUGGGUGACCUGCCCUGCACUUCGGGAUAAGCCUGGGAAACUGGGUCUAAUACCGGAUAGGACCGCACCGUGAGGGUGUGGUGGAAAGUUUUUUCGGUGUGGGAUGGGCCCGCGGCCUAUCAGCUUGUUGGUGGGGUAAUGGCCUACCAAGGCGGCGACGGGUAGCCGGCCUGAGAGGGUGGACGGCCACAUUGGGACUGAGACACGGCCCAGACUCCUACGGGAGGCAGCAGUGGGGAAUAUUGCACAAUGGGCGGAAGCCUGAUGCAGCGACGCCGCGUGGGGGAUGACGGCCUUCGGGUUGUAAACUCCUUUCACCAUCGACGAAGGGUUUCUGACGGUAGAUGGAGAAGAAGCACCGGCUAACUACGUGCUAGCAGCCGCGGUAAUACGUAGGGUGCGAGCGUUGUCCGGAAUUACUGGGCGUAAAGAGCUCGUAGGUGGUUUGUCGCGUCGUCUGUGAAAUUCCGGGGCUUAACUCCGGGCGUGCAGGCGAUACGGGCAUAACUUGAGUACUGUAGGGGAGACUGGAAUUCCUGGUGUAGCGGUGAAAUGCGCAGAUAUCAGGAGGAACACCGGUGGCGAAGGCGGGUCUCUGGGCAGUAACUGACGCUGAGGAGCGAAAGCAUGGGGAGCGAACAGGAUUAGAUACCCUGGUAGUCCAUGCCGUAAACGGUGGGCGCUAGGUGUGGGUUUCCUUCCACGGGAUCCGUGCCGUAGCUAACGCAUUAAGCGCCCCGCCCGGGGAGUACGGCCGCAAGGCUAAAACUCAAAGGAAUUGACGGGGGCCCGCACAAGCGGCGGAGCAUGUGGAUUAAUUCGAUGCAACGCGAAGAACCUUACCUGGGCUUGACAUAUACAGGAUCGCGCCAGAGAUGGUGUUUCCCUUGUGGCUUGUAUACAGGUGGUGCAUGGUUGUCGUCAGCUCGUGUCGUGAGAUGUUGGGUUAAGUCCCGCAACGAGCGCAACCCUUGUCUUAUGUUGCCAGCACGUUGUGGUGGGGACUCGUAAGAAACUGCCGGGGUUAACUCGGAGGAAGGUGGGGAUGACGUCAAAUCAUCAUGCCCCUUAUGUCCAGGGCUUCACACAUGCUACAAUGGUCGGUACAGUGGGUUGCCAGUCCGUGAGGGCGAGCUAAUCCCGCAAAGCCGGUCUCAGUUCGGAUCGGGGUCUGCAACUCGACCCCGUGAAGUCGGAGUCGCUAAUAAUCGCAGAUCAGCAACGCUGCGGUGAAUACGUUCCCGGGCCU
rnacentral:rRNA from 1 species